CUUGUAUAGGUGGAAUGUUGUUUUUCCUCUGUACACCUUCUUUAUAGAACAUUUUCUUCAUGUUACCUAAAGGCAUGGUGCAAAUUAAAAACCUGCGAAUAUCUGCAUUAGGAUAAUUCAGCUUACCUAAUUGUUUAGGUCAUGUAGCCCCUCGUUUCCUCCAUAAUAAUAGAAUAAAGAGCCAGAGGAGUUCUGCUUUCCCAUGACUUACAUCACUCUGCAGACAAUUGGCAGCCAGGAGACGGGCAGCUGCCGCAAUCUUCAGAUUUCUCUCUAUUUAAAGUUCAAAGAGACGCUGGAUAACAAAAGAAAGAGGUAAGCGUGGCCUGACCUAGCCACCCACCAACAGGAAUAAUGGCUGAAAAAGCGGGGUCUACAUUUUCACACCUUCUGGUUCCUAUUCUUCUCCUGAUUGGCUGGAUUGUGGGCUGCAUCAUAAUGAUUUAUGUUGUCUUCUCUUAGAAAGGCAAGAAGAUAUCAGAUUGACAUCAUUUAGAAGAAUUAAGAAAACUAUGAACAUGACUGAUUAUUAAAUGUCUCAUGUUAAACAAUGCAAUGUUUGACAUCACUUUACAAACUUGGAUCAUAAACUGGCACUUUGAACCCAGACAUACAUCCAUGGCAGGGCCAGACGAACUCAAGUGGCACUUGCCACACUGAACUCAGAAUCACUACAUGAAGCUUAUCGUGCCUGGCUCCUUUUUUGACAAAGUUAAGCUCUCCCAGGAGGCUCCUCAGGUUUUUGCAAGAAGGCUUGGGUUUAUUUGCUCCAUCAGGUUGGCAAAAAUGUUUGGAUCACACUUCCACUCAAGCAACAUGUCUGGAUUCUCAGAGUCUCCUGAUGCAAACAGGUAUAUCCAGAUGUACGAGAUGAGACUUAUGGAGGCUCACUUGCCCAGAGUUUCUCAGCUGGUCACUUGCUCAGCAGAAGUUGAAUUCUUGAUCCAGGUCUCUGAAGCAUGUGCGAGCUAAAGUUUGAGUUAUGAAUUCAAAUGUUGUCAGGGCUCAGGUGAGGAAAAGAGUAAAACUGGCUAGGUGGAGACUGAAGAUUUGGAAGCAAUUUUUGGCAUGGAAGAACUUGAGACCAGCAUUACCAGAUCUUCCCAUUUUUCAAGAGAAACUGAAAAUAUCUUCUCUUUAAUGUGAAAUCUCUGUAUUUAAAAUGCUAUAUAUUAAUUUUUUUAAAUAAACAGGAUUUGGGUUAGGCACA
rnacentral:lncRNA from 1 species